AAAAAAAAAAAAAGGAAAAAAAAGCUUAAUACUUCGUUAUGGCCGCCUGAGAAACUCUCCUUCCACUUUCUUCAUCAUCUCCCUCUCUCUCUUUCUCUCUAUCUCUCUCUACAACACACACCGAGAUGGAUGCAGGGGGAGACGUAUGAUCUUGGAUGCGUACAUGUAUGUGGCGUCCAUAAGUUAAAGCGAAUUUACAGUGUUAUUAACAAAAGGGACUUCCACUUCCACUCAUGGAGAAAGGGAAUGGAACUCAUGAAGAGGCAAGUAGCCCAGGUUGGGGUGCUUCAUUUUUGGUGCAGACAGCUGAAGAUGCUUCUGGAACUGCUGUUACUCCUCCUUCUCCUUCACCAAGACCUUCAGUGGUAUUCUCAUCAAAAGGGGAUACAAGUCCUCUUCAAAAGCUUCAGAAUCAAGUUUUCAGAGCACUCAAAGGCUUAUCUCCUCCUUCUGAAGAUAAAAGCAGAACUUACAAUCCAGAAGUAUUAACUAGCCAAAAACGUCAAUGGGCAAGCUUUCAGUUGGAUGCCCUGCAUCAAAGGAUACUGAAAGAACCUUCUAGGCUAUUUGAGAGCAUGGUAGUGGUUGGAUUGCAUCCAAAUUGUGACAUUCAGGCACUUCAGAGGCAAUAUUUUGGUAGAAGAUCUGAAGGUCCAGGGAGGCAUCAGUUUCGUGUAGAACCAAAUCUUGAACCUCAGGUUCUUUUUGUCUACCCUCCAGAUAAACAGCUUCCAUUAAGGUCUAAAGAUCUCCUUUCAUUCUGCUUUCCUGGUGGAUUGGAGGUUCACACUAUUGAGAGAACACCAUCAAUGAGUGAACUGAAUGAAAUACUUCUUGGACAGGAACACCUUAAACAAAACGAUCUCUCCUUUGUAUUCAGGUUACAGGGCGCAGAUGAUUCAACACUUUAUGGUUGUUGUGUUCUUGUGGAUGAAUUAGUCCAACAACCUUCUAGAUUAAUUUCAAUCAUGGGAGAUGGACAUUUUUUCUACCCCUCCUCUUAGUCGCCAUGUUUUAACCACUAGAAGGUGUUAUUGUAUUCUUACAAGGCUUCCAUUUUUUGAACUCCAUUUUGGUGUUUUAAACAGCAUCUUCACUGAAGAAAGAUUGGAUCGAUUAACAAAAAGUAUUGGGGAGUUGGAUUUGGAUUUGGAUUUGGAUUCAUCUGUUGAGAAUGAUGGAGAAGUGUAUUUAGAAGCUGAAAAUGGUGCUUCUGCUUCAGUUGAACAUGUUCAAGAACUUAAUGGAAACAUGGAAACUUGUGAUGAUAAUCAUAAUCAUGUUGAUGAUAAACAACUUACUCAAAAACAAAUCCCAAAUGCAAUUUUGCCUUUUCUUCGUUUUCAACAAUAUGAUAGCUCUGAUUCUUCCUCAAGUUUUCAGGGGUCUCCAAGUGAAGAUAGAAACUUUAGGAGUGAUCUUGAUUCACCAGAGACAGAAGAAGCAUCGUUUUCAGGUCAAGAAGAUAACGAGCACAAGGAAAUUCUUGAUUGGGCUAAGAAUAAUAACCAUGGAUCUUUACAAAUUAUAUGCGAAUACAAUCGUUUAUGUGUCCCCACAAGAGGCUCAACAACAAAAUUUCAUCCCCUUGAACACCUGCAUCCUCUUGAAUUUCACAGACCUGAUGAAACAGUUUUACAUAUGGCUGGUUCUACUGUUGAUUUGAUGUCAUGUAGCACAACUUUUGAACUUUCAGAGGCUCACAGGGCACUUUCAGUGGAGGAAGAGGCAACUGCUUUAUCAGUAUGGGCAAUUUCAUGCAUAUGUGGCUCAAUGCGUCUUGAACAUGUGUUGACAAUAUUCACAGGUGCUCUGUUGGAGAAGCAAAUGGUGUUUGUGUGUUCUAAUCUGGGAAUAUUAUCUGCUUCAGUGUUAUCGAUUAUCCCUUUGAUUCGUCCCUAUCAGUGGCAGAGCUUCUUUAUGCCGGUCUUGCCAAAUGACAUGCUGGAUUUUUUGGAUGCACCUGUUCCUUUUGUAGUUGGUGUGAAGAGCAGAACAGCUGAAGUCCAAUCAAAAUCAGGAAAUGUUAUUCUUGUUGAUGCAAAUAAAAACCAGGUGAAAUCGUCUUAUAUGCCACAUUUCCCACAAUACAAAGAGUUAUUUGCAGCCUUAACUCCAUAUCAUGCUCAACUUGUUGGAGAAAGUUAUUUGGGGAGAAGGAGACCUGUUUAUGACUGCACUGAUGUGCAGGUAGAAGCUGCAAAGGGAUUCCUGAGAGUAUUAAGAUCUUACUUGGAUUCACUUUGCUCCAACUUACGUUCACACACAAUUACAAAUGUUCAAAUCAAACGACGAUAAGGUAUCAUUGCUUCUAAAGGAGAGUUUCAUUGAAUCUUUUCCUAGUCGCGAUCGACCUUUUAUGAAGCUUUUUGUAGACACACAAAUGUUCUCUGUACAUACAGACUUGGUAUUGUCUCUUUUUCCAAAAGGAUUAGAAGUGGAAGGAAGGAAGGAAGGUUGACCUUGUAAUGUAUAGUUUUAUAAUCGCAAUUCAGCGCAAAUUCUAUAAGUUAUUAUAGUCCUCCCUCAUCAGUUUAAGUGUUUUUAUAUUAUUAUUAUUAUAUAUAGUUAUAAUUAUAAUUUAUAAUUAUAAUUGGUUUCACAUUUUGUAUCACAUAUCAAUUCACAUGGCUAUCUACAUCAAAAGCCAAUAACAUUAUAUAAACAUCAUGUGCUCUCCUUUCUUAAACCAUAUAACAGUUUUGUUUC